AUCCAUGCCAUCGCCAGGGAGACCUUUACCUGUGAUGUCUGCGGGAAGAGCUUGGCCACUAAACCAUCGCUGGUCAGCCAUCAACAGCUACACCAGUACCCCAACAUCAUUUUGUACCGGCAAGGAGAGGCCAGGCUGUACUGUACAGAGGCAGCAAGGUCUGUGGCAGAGGCCCGCAGCAGCACUGUUGUUGACCCUAAAUGGCUGGAUCUCAAGACAGCAGAGGCGGCUGCCAAGAGGUCGGGGGCUGAGCUGUGGAAAGGUCAGCUGGUCAUCACGUUCGGGUAGUACGCCGGUCAGACCUUCAGGUGGCUUGUGGAGAAUGAUGUCGGCUGGCUGGUGUGGCUGCUGUUCCAGUACUGCCAGCAGGGAGAGCAGAACGAGCUGCUGAAGUGGCAGAAGGAGCGACUGCUCCUUCGGCCACAAGGUGACUCCUCACCUGAAAGUGCUGUCGGACGCACCGUUCCCGGAGGCUCCUGCGCUGCCAACAUCCCUCCCUCCGCCAGACCGGCCUCAGGUCCAGUACCGGCUCAUCUAUCACGAGGCUGGAAAGAGACGUGGUGAGAAGCGGAGAUUAUUUGUUGAUGAGCCACAGCCUGUGACUCCCGCGAACCGACCCGUUCAGCCCACUGGGUUGUCGUCCUCCACCCGGCCGAAGCCUGCUGCGCUCACCCCCAUUCUGCCGAGGCCUUCUGCGCCUACCCACCUCCAGCCGAGGCCACCCGCUGCGUUGACCUACGGCCCACCCCCUGUGUCGGCAGCACCCAUACUGCAGGUCUUCCCCGCACAGCCACAGGCGCCCUCCGUCCUGUUUCGUGGGACAUCCUGCAGCCAGAGCUUUGUCCCUCCUGCACCAACAGUCAAGGCAUUCAUGCCUAACAAGUCCUCAAGGCCAUGUGGGGCUUGCCACAUGCCAAACUGUGGUGGACAGUGGAAGAGGUACAACCCUUUCAAGGACAAAGUGGCUGGAAGCAUUCAGAAAAUGUUUUCCUACUGUCCAUCCACUAGGAAGUCCACUACCCCUGGCUUCGACAAUGUGGUGUAUGACAACUUUGAACUCUUUAAGAGUGUCGUGGAUGCAGAGUUGGAAAGGAGGACUGUGUGUGUGUGUGUGUGUGUGUGUGUGUGUGUGUGUGUGUGUGUGUGUGUGUGUGUGUGUGUGUGUGUGUGUGUGUGUGUGUGUGUGUUUGUGAAUAACUUACCUCUGUGA
rnacentral:lncRNA from 1 species